AAUAAAAAAGGAAAUGAAGUUUGUGGUUAUUGUUACUUAAAAGCCAUUGAGCUUGAAUUUUGUUCAUAUCUGUAUUCUGUUAGCUUGUUUUCUCUUCCAUCUUUAAUUCUUCAAGCUCCAACUUUGCCUUUGAAAGUUGAUGAAAAUGACUACUGUUCUAAAGCAGUUGUUGAAGAGUUUUUGCACCAAUUCACCUUGGAUAUACGCUGUGCUUUGGAAGCUUAGGCACUUGAGUCCCAUGGGGUUGACCUGGGAAGAUGAGUAUUGUGUUUAUCCAAUGCCAUCAGAGAUGAUCCCAUCACAGUUUGAAGCAAGCAUCGACGACUGUUGUUUUGGAGGGUACCAAAUUGGCCUACUGCUGACAAAUAUGUUGAAUCUUAAGUAUGCAUGGGGAGAGGGGGUUGUUGGUAAAGUGGCAUGUACUGGGAAGCAUUGCUGGGUUUCGUAUGACGAUAUUUUCACCGGCGAAGCUGACUCGAAUUCGUUUUCAGAGUGUCCAGAGGAAUGGCUACUUCAGUUUGCAUCAGGAUUCAAGAGUAUUGUACUGGUACCCGUGCUUCCACAUGGAGUUCUUCAACUUGGUUCACUGGAGAUGGUCAAUGAAGAUUUGUCCAUUGUUGCAUACAUCAAAGAUAGAUUUGCCUACAUUCAUGCACAGUUUCCUCCAUCAUUGCUAAUGUCAAGAUUUUCCGAGAAGUUAGAAGAGUCUUCAAGCGCAUCAGUUAGUCCGCUGAACUCCGAAGAUUCAAAUACUGUUUUUAGUAUUCGGAAUGCAUUUAAGGUGCCUGGAACGGAUCUGCCUGAACUUCUUGAAAGUGAAUGCAAAAAUAUUAGUGUCCCACCAAUUAGCCUAAGUGAAGUGUCAUCGCCACUAAGCCAAUCUAUAAGUUCCAGCCAAUUAGCAACGCAGGAGACCAAACUACAUGGCUCGUCUCGUCUUAAGGAGGAAUCGCAAGUGUUUCCUGAAUGUAAUACUCACGCAGUGGGAGCAAACGAAGAAAUCUUCCAUGGAAUUGAAAAUCUUUACCCUGCCAAAGAUCCACUGACACCACCUUUUGAAAACUACCAUGCAGAUGAUGCUUGUUACCUUAGCUUCCCCGAAGAUUGUGAAUUGCACAAAGCACUUGGACCGGCUUUUCGAAGAGACAGCAAUGAGUACUUGUGGGAGUCGUCUCUUUUAAGUGAGAAGGUAUUGAGUGAUCUCUUUGAUGGAAAUGAACUCCUCUUGUCUGCCAAAGUAGGUGAUGCGGAGUAUUUGUUGCAAGCAGUAGUAGGCCAAGUAUAUGAUAUCGCUAACAUAUCCGAUCAUGCCAUGACAUCUACCACACAACUUCCUUCUCAACCUCAAAGUGUAAAGGACGAUCCCACUCCAUUGAGAAGACUUACAUCUCCGGAAUAUGUUGGAGUCGAUUCUAGUCCUAAAAUGACAGCCUCUUCCGAGAGUACAAUAAGCAUGUUAACUGAUAACGAUAAUCCAGAAAAAGGUUUCGAUUACACACGUUCCAGGAAAGGACAAAAGCCGUCCACCGUCAAUAAAAGAAAGGCUAGAGCUGGUGAUAAGCCAAGGACGAGGCCAAGGGACAGACAGUUGAUCCAUGAUCGGCUUAAGGAGCUGCGAGAACUUGUCCCGAAUGGUGCUAAGUAUAGCAUUGAUGCUCUCUUGGAUCAAACAGUUCACCACAUGAUGUAUUUGACAAGUGUGACAAACCGAGCUGACAAAUUGAGGCAAUGGGUGUACGGAGAGGUGACUGCUCGGAAAAAUGUGAGAUCAUCUGAAAUAAAAAAUGGUUACCACCAAAACCGAACGAGCUGUGGUUUUGAGAUACGAGAUGAACUGAAAGUAUGCCCCAUAGUUGUGGAAGAUCUUGCACACCAAGGCCACUUGCUCAUUGAGUCCGCAUUCGUUGCAGAUGCUUUGCGACGAGCACGGUCUGUUUCUAGAGAUUGCUCAGGUGAUCCGGAGUUUUAAUUUAACGAUCCUGAAAGGUGUGAUGGAGAGCUCUUCGAACAAUACAUGGGCUCAUUUCGUCGUCGAGGCUUCAAAGGAUUUUCAUAGACUGCAUAUUUUCUGGCCUCUGAUGCAGCUUUUACAGCGUCAAAGGAAUCUGCACAAGGCUUUAUAACCAAAAGAUGGAGUAUUUGUCCGCACAACGUUUGCAUGACGGAAUGAGACAAAACUAGUGAUCAUGUAUAUGCUUGAAUGGAUAAUCUACUCUUAACAAAGGCUGCUGAAAUUAGUUUGUACGGUUAUCAGUUGGACUGUUAUCCAAUUGUUGUUAAUCUCUUUGAAAUUAGUUAGGCCUUUCUGGGUUAGUUACAUAUCAGACUAUAUAUACCAGCCCAUG